CAAUCAUCGCAUUAUGCAAUUCGAAAUCAAUUCAAACAAUAAUCAUCAAGUGUCGGCUACUGCCUGUUCGGAUAUAGAAUACUAUAUAAGAUAAAGAGAAUGAGCUCAUUUAAAAUCAUUAAAAGUUGGCGACUGCUUGUGCGGAUAUGUGUGGUUUUAUACACUCUAUGAUAAUGGGCAAUAACACACAAUUGCAAGUAUUGAUACAUAUUUCUGGCAAAAGCACAACCUCUCGGCCAGGUUCAAGGUUGUUUAGCCAUUAGCACACAAUUUUGUUGUGGUUUUCCAUAUAUUUUUAGAUAUUUUAUCAUGCAACAGCUGACGGCGACAAGUUGUAGCUUUUGCUGAGAGGAAAGUGGCUCACGGCUACAAAAUAGCGACUGCGAAAGUAGCGAAGCGCACACAGGUGCCAAAAAGCAGCAAAAAGAUCUCCGGAUAUAGCCAGGUAUACAUAUUCAAAUAUAUAGGAAAAUUUAUGUGUGUUUAUGGCCACUAUACCCACAUGAAAUCUUGCGAUCUCUACCAUACCGCACCAUUGGCCAACCCUAAGUUUUUAUAAUUAAUCUCAGUCUGCACGCGUUUUGUUUACGCUGGGAAAAAAAGUUUAAAAAACAUGAUAAAGAAAACAAAAUUCCCCUACUUUUGUGUAGAGGUAAACAAUAUUGGCGUCAUCAAGAAGAUGCCAACGAAAUAGAAAACAAUAACAAAAUAGAAAACUAUUUGGGCCCGACAGCACUUUAAACUCAAAUAAACAAGCCCCAGUGAAAUGCUGGGUCUCUGCUGCUUCGUUUAUCUAAUCGGAAAACUGGAAAAGCGGCCAGCAUCAAAGGGAGUGGACUGAACCAUGGCCAAUCCUAAGUGAACCCCACUGUUCCGAGCAUUUCUUUCUGGGUUAUUGCGCACAAACUCCGCCAGCUCGGACCCACCCACCCUCUGAAUAACCCCCUCUAUAAGCAUAGCUUGGAGAUACUGCGCAGUUCGGGACAUCGAAUCGCUAUGACACAGAGCCAAAUGACGGACGCCAACGCAUCGACAGAAGCUAAAUGCGACAUCAAGUGAAGCAACUUUGUACUCGUUUUAUGUUUUCAUUUGGAUGGACAAGCAUUUGUGGAAUUGCUUAUGCUUCCAUGCAUAUGAAUGCUUUUUAGCUGCAGUAAGUGGAAUUUUAGAGGCAUUGUAAUGGAUACCAUAUGCGGUGGAACAAUAUGAUCAUGGGUUGCUUAUGAGAUACUUGACGUUUUGUGAUGACGUUAAUGUUUCCCUUAAAAAUAAUUUGUUUCAAUACAAAUAUUUUUAUAAAUUCUCAAAAAAUGGGUCAGGGUUUUCCAAAAAUUAAUAACAUUUUAAAAAGCAUUAUUAAAAUAUAUUCAAUUAUUUCUUUAAAAUUUCAUUAUCAUUUGAAUGGUUUAUAUGUAUACUAACAGCCAGAUCUGCCAAGCCCAAAAAGACCCCCAGCAAAGCUCCUCGAAAAAUGACGCAAACGCUUCUUUGAUGUCACAGAGGCACACACGCACACAUCGCCCUCAAAACAAAGAGACACUUGUGAGGUUCCACUGUACCAGUACCUCUGAGUAUCGAGGUUCAUUGUGUGGUGCCUGCUUAUCAAACGAUCGAUGAUAAAUGUGGGAUUGCAGGUUCCCUGCCUCCACGUAUGGGUACAUAUAGAAUUUCAAGUUCGCGUACCUUGCUGCACUUUGGCUGUACAUAUUAAUGGCAUUUAGAUGUGCUUUUUAUUAUAUAUGUAUAUAUAUAAAUGGAUGUUUUAUAACGCGUAAUUUCAAUUAGUACGUGAGACGCAGUUGAGUUUACUCAAUGUGUCUCUUCUUAGGCAAAGGCAAAUCCCCUGGGCACGACGCAUAUUUUUUAUCACUUUGUUUAUCAGUAUCAGUUCCAGGUCCAGCUGUCGUAUAUAGAAUUCUGGGUCAUCGGCGUCUAUGGCCCCCGUCUAUGGGAAAACAAUCAAUCAAUCUAUCUAAUAUUACGGCAGUCAAUAGAUUUGCGCGCCCUUCUGGCGGAUUACAUCAGACGCUCAACUGGUGACUCGGAAAUGACUAGACUCAAUACCAUCAUGAUGACUUUAAAUAUAGCCGAGAGUCGUAAUUAAAUAAUAUGGCUUCUAACACGUGUGCAAUUGUAAAAAGAGUAAUACACUAAGAAAAUAUAUAAUAAUAUUAUUAUUAUAUAAUAUAUAUUCUAUCUAACUUCGGAGAUUUAAAAUCUGCCAAUGUGGUGCCCGAAUGUAUGCACUAUUAUUUUUACGAAGUAC